rnacentral:rRNA from 1 species
AUUGAACGCUGGCGGCAUGCUUUACACAUGCAAGUCGAACGGCAGCGCGGGCUUCGGCCUGGCGGCGAGUGGCGAACGGGUGAGUAAUACAUCGGAACGUGCCCAGUAGUGGGGGAUAGCUCGGCGAAAGCCGGAUUAAUACCGCAUACGACCUGAGGGUGAAAGCGGGGGAGCUUCGGACCUCGCGCUAUUGGAGCGGCCGAUGGCAGAUUAGCUAGUUGGUGGGGUAAAGGCCUACCAAGGCGACGAUCUGUAGCUGGUCUGAGAGGACGACCAGCCACCCUGGGACUGAGCCACGGCCCAGGCUCCUACGGGAGGCAGCAGUGGGGAAUUUUGGACAAUGGGCGAAAGCCUGAUCCAGCAAUGCCGCGUGUGUGAUGAAGGCCUUCGGGUUGUAAAGCACUUUUGGCGGGAACGAAAAGGACUGUGCCAAUACCACGGUUCGAUGACGGUACCCGCAGAAUAAGCACCGGCUAACUACGUG